rnacentral:rRNA from 1 species
CCUACGUGUGGCAGCAGUGAGGACUAUUGGUCAAUGGGCGGGAGCCUGAACCAGCCACGCCGCGUGAGGGAAGAAGGUACAGCGUAUCGUACACCUCUUUUGUCAGGGAACAAAGGCGGGGACUAGUCCCCGGAUGAGGGUACCUGAAGACAAAGCAUCGGCCAACUCCGUGCCAGCAGCCGCGGUAAUACGGAGGAUGCUAGCGUUAUCCGGAUUUAUUGGGUGUAAAGGGUGCGCGGGCGGCCUGUUAAGUCAGCGGUAACAGCCCGGGGCUCAUCCCCGGCGAGCCGUUGAAACUGGCGGGCUGGAGUUGGAGAGAAGUACGCGGAAGGCGCGGUGUAGCGGUGAAAUGCUUAGAUAGCGCGCAGAACCCCGAUUGCGAAGGCAGCGUACCGGCUCCACACUGACGCUGAGGCACGAAAGCGUGGGUAUCGAACAGGAUUAGAUACCCUAGUAGUC